GAAUUUGCCCUAUGGAGGAGCAGCGGCACUGCCUUUAUCCCCCGAGCCGGGGGGGGAGAAGUCGGCAUCCCAAACCCCACCCUGCAGAGCGGCCGCCACACUCAGGACGGACAGCCGGGGGCAAAGCGGGGGUUUUGGGGGGACGUCGUUACCGGCCCCUUCCUCAUCUUUGGCCUCACCCGGAUCGGCACCCAUGAGAAGACGGCCACGGAAAUCUCAGUGGCCAAAGUCACGGAGCUGCUGUGGGAGCUGCACGGCAGGGGGAGCCGUGAGGAACCCCCCCGCGAUGAAGGGGAUGAGGAUGGCGAUGCAGACCCCCCCGAGGAGCCCCUGUGGGAUGGGGGCAGCGC